UUUGUACAGUACACUACGAGAAUACGCGCAUACCACAAUGAGAUAUGAUUCUUUUGCAGUGGUAGAGUAGAGUAGUAGUAUGUAAUAGCGUAUAGAAUUGAAUCGAUUGAGCCAACGAACCGUAGGAAGAGGGGGCCAGGGGGCGCUGGGGUACACGAAUGUGUAUGGAUAUUUCACAAUUUCGCAGCGAUUACGAGUGAAUUGGUCUACUGGGAAUUUCACAACGACAUCAUUUUGCUAUAUCUUCAUGACUAUCACCACCCACACUUCAACUAAUAUGUCCGACAUUACCAACUAAAUGUUAUCAACAGCUCCAUUAUCACAUAUGUAUACUACACUGAGUUCUAGAAAAAUUAAACUACGUUUACAAUUUAUUAAGAAUUUUCAUUAUGAUGUCUAUUUACUAUAUACACAUCUGCAUAAAUAUGUAUAU